rnacentral:rRNA from 1 species
UCCGUAGGUGAACCUGCGGAAGGAUCAUUAAAGAAUCGCCCCGUUUUUUGAAAUGGGUUCUAUUCCCAAACCGUGUAUACAUACCUUUGUUGCUUUGGCAGGCCGCCUUUUAGGCGUCGGCUCCGGCUGACUGCGCCUGCCAGAGGACCCAAACUCGUUUGUUUAGUGAUGUCUGAGUACUAUAUAAUAGUUAAAACUUUCAACAACGGAUCUCUUGGUUCUGGCAUCGAUGAAGAACGCAGCGAAAUGCGAUAAGUAAUGUGAAUUGCAGAAUUCAGUGAAUCAUCGAAUCUUUGAACGCACAUUGCGCCCCUUGGUAUUCCGAGGGGCAUGCCUGUUCGAGCGUCAUUAUAACCACUCAAGCCUCGGCUUGGUCUUGGGGUUCGCGGUCUCGCGUCCCUUAAAAUCAGUGGCGGUGCCGUCUGGCUCUAAGCGUAGUAAUUCUCUCGCUAUAGGGUCCCGGUGGUUGCCUGCCAGAACCCCCCAUUUUUUGCGGUUGACCUCGGAUCAGGUAGGGAUACCCGCUGAACUUAAGCAUAUCAAUAAGCGGAGGA